ensembl:lncRNA
CGUGUGAGGUCAUAGGCAUGACUGAUACAGCAGUACUUGCAAGACGAGCAUACAAACAGACACGUGUGUUACUAUAUUCAGAAGAACUGUAUCUCCAGUUCCUUUGUUCGGUUUUUGCUGCUUCGUGAAUAAUGGCGGGACGACGUGUCGCGUUCAACUCGCCUUCAACUCCUCUCCGCGGUCACCAACUUUUGGCCAGUCUGCAGACAGACGAGAAGAUGCUGCUGAAUGCUCUCAGUGGAUCGUCUCGUCACUCCAACAACAAACUGCCGAUAUCAACGAGCGGUUCGCUCCACUGGAGCGUUCGGGACUCUGCGGGUUUCUGUCCAUGGAGGAGAGGAACUGACUCAAAGAAGAGGAGACGGGCGCACAAUCCCAAGAUAGCGUGUCCUUUACAGGAAGCGGUGCGCCGUCUUCACAACUCCGAGACGAACUACAGGCGCCACGAACCGGAGCAAGGGUCAGAUUUACAGAAUAUGCUUUCAUUCUGCGCUAUAAGGAAAUAUAUACGUAUAGAUACCGAUCAUAACUGUACAUUUUGUUUU